ACGGGGCGCAGCAGGCGAGAAAACUUUGCAAUGUGCGAAAGCACGACAAGGUUAAUCCGAGUGGUUUCUGCUAAAGGAACCUUUUGACGGUCCUAAAAACACUGUUGAAUAAGGGGUGGGCAAGUUCUGGUGUCAGCCGCCGCGGUAAAACCAGCACCUCAAGUGGUCAGGAUGAUUAUUGGGCCUAAAGCAUCCGUAGCCGGCUCUGUAAGUUUUCGGUUAAAUCUGUACGCUCAACGUACAGGCUGCUGGGAAUACUGCAGAGCUAGGGAGUGGGAGAGGUAGACGGUACUCGGGAGGAAGUGGUAAAAUGCUUUGAUCUCUCGAUGACCACCUGUGGCGAAGGCGGUCUACCAGAACACGUCCGACGGUGAGGGAUGAAAGCUGGGGGAGCAAACCGGAUUAGAUACCCGGGUAGUCCCAGCUGUAAACUAUGCAAACUCAGUGAUGCGUUGGCUUAUGGCCAGCGCAGUGUUGCAGGGAAGCCGUUAAGUUUGCCGCCUGGGAAGUACGUACGCAAGUAUGAAACUUAAAGGAAUUGGCGGGGGAGCAC
rnacentral:rRNA from 1 species